GUCACUCCGGCUGAAGAACAGAGCCGUGGCCAGCAGACAAGAGGCAGAGUUGGGCCAGAUCCCAUCUGUCCACAGGUUUCCAGAACAGAACCAGCCUAUUCUGGCCCAAGCCUGGAGUGGAUAGCAUGUCACCACCUCCCUUGUAAGAGGAGUCCAGGUCACGAGACUACGAUGACCCGGCUUUGCAAGUUGCUGGUUUUGUAAAUUCUCCAUGCACUGAUGUCAUACACCUAUCCAUCCAUCAUAAGCUCCUGGUCGUUUCAAGGAUUCCAACUCUCAGCCUGCGCUGAAGGCGGGAGCCUCGCUCUGUGCCUGGGCUGGCCACUGUCCAGCUGUCCUCUCUCUCCUUCGUGCUCUGGAAGCUCUGAUGAAGUGAGUGGCAGCUGUGCGCGUUGAGAUGCUGAGCAGGAGUUCAGGUGCUGGGAGGAGAUUUUCUCCCUUGGGAAGAAGCGGUUCUCAGAGGCCAAACAUCUUCCCUGAAGAGAAGCAGAGGGAAAAAUCAGAGCAGGGAGAGGUGAAACCG